rnacentral:ncRNA from 1 species
AAAGAUGCUUAGAUGAAGAGGAGUAGAAGUAUAAAACAUCUAGAGAGGGAAGUUAGCUUGCUGAAAGGCUUCCUAUGUGGAUUACUUUGAAGGUAGCUUCGGAGCACUUCUAUUGAAAUUUAUAGUAGAUAGAAGCGGUGAAUCUCACCGUUAUGUAUUGAGAGCUUGAAAAUAAAUGUUACAUUUCAAGAAUAAAGGUGGUAACGCGCACAGUCGUCCUUUUU